rnacentral:rRNA from 1 species
AGGGUUUGAUCAUGGCUCAGAUUGAACGCUGGCGGCAGGCUUAACACAUGCAAGUCGAGCGCGAAAGCCCUUCGGGGUGAGUAGAGCGGCGGACGGGUGAGUAACGCGUAGGAAUCUACCCAGUGGUGGGGGACAACAUGGUGAAAACCAUGCUAAUACCGCAUACGCCCUACGGGGGAAAGCGGGGGACCUUCGGGCCUCGCGCCAUUGGAUGAGCCUGCGUCGGAUUAGCUAGUUGGUGGGGUAAAGGCCCACCAAGGCGACGAUCCGUAGCUGGUCUGAGAGGAUGAUCAGCCACACUGGGACUGAGACACGGCCCAGACUCCUACGGGAGGCAGCAGUGGGGAAUAUUGCGCAAUGGGGGCAACCCUGACGCAGCCAUGCCGCGUGUGUGAAGAAGGCCUUAGGGUUGUAAAGCACUUUCAAUUGGGAAGAAAGGUUGUCCGUUAAUAGCGUGCAGCUGUGACAUUACCUUUAGAAGAAGCACCGGCUAACUCCGUGCCAGCAGCCGCGGUAAUACGGAGGGUGCGAGCGUUAAUCGGAAUUACUGGGCGUAAAGCGCGCGUAGGCGGUUUGUUAAGUCAGCUGUGAAAGCCCCGGGCUCAACCUGGGAAUUGCAGUUGAUACUGGCCGACUAGAGUACGAGAGAGGGAGGUAGAAUUCCACGUGUAGCGGUGAAAUGCGUAGAUAUGUGGAGGAAUACCAGUGGCGAAGGCGGCCUCCUGGCUCGAUACUGACGCUGAGGUGCGAAAGCGUGGGGAGC